rnacentral:snRNA from 1 species
GUGCUCACUUCUGCAGCAUAUAUACUAAAAUUGGAACAAUACGGAGAAGAUUAGCAUGGCCUCUGUGCAAGGAUGACAUGCAAAUUCAUGAAGUAUUCCAUAUUUUU